CCCGCUGAACUUAAGCAUAUCAAUAAGCGGAGGAAAAGAAACUAACAAGGAUUCCCCUAGUAACUGCGAGUGAAGAGGGAAAAGCUCAAAUUUAAAAUCUGGCAGUCUAUGGCUGUCCGAGUUGUAAAUUAGAGAAGUGUUAUCCGCUCAAGCCUGUGCAAAAGUCCCUUGGAAAAGGGCAUCAUAGAGGGUGACAAUCCCGUCUUUGGCACAGAUCACUUGCGCUUUUGUGAUGCGCUCUCGAUGAGUCGAGUUGUUUGGGAAUGCAGCUCUAAAUGGGUGGUAAAUUCCAUCUAAAGCUAAAUAUUGGCGAGAAACCGAUAGCGCACAAGUACCGUGAGGGAAAGAUGAAAAGAACUUUGAAAAGAGAGUUAAACAGUACGUGAAAUUGUUGAAAGGGAAACGCUUGGAGUCAGUCGUAUCCUGCAAAAUCAACCUAACUUUUGGUUGGGUGUACUUUUUGUAGGAUGGGUCAGCAUCAAUUUUGAUUGUUGGAAAAAGGACUUGGGAAUGUGGCAUCUUUGGAUGCGUUAUAGCCCUUGUUUGUAUACAAUGAUUGGGAUUGAGGAACUCAGUGUGACUUUUGUUUGGGGGCAUUGCCUCACAUCAACGCACUUAGGAUGCUGGCAUAAUGGCUUUAAUCGACCCGUCUUGAAACACGG
rnacentral:rRNA from 1 species